rnacentral:rRNA from 1 species
UAAGCUCUGUCGCCGGGACGAAAUUCUAUGAGUGAAUAGCUCAUAGAACUGACGGUACCGGGAGAGGAAGCACCGGCUAACUCCGUGC